rnacentral:rRNA from 1 species
UACGGGGGGAGCAAGCGUUGUUCGGAUUUAUUGGGCGUAAAGAGCUCGUAGGCGGCUUGUCGCGUCGACUGUGAAAUCCCGCGGCUCAACUGCGGGUCUGCAGUCGAUACGGGCAGGCUAGAGUUCGGUAGGGGAGACUGGAAUUCCUGGUGUAGCGGUGAAAUGCGCAGAUAUCAGGAGGAACACCGAUGGCGAAGGCAGCUCGCUGGAACGGUACUGACGCUGAGACGCGAAAGCGUGGGGAGCGAACAGG